UGGCGGCACGCCUAACACAUGCAAGUCGAACGCAGUAGCAAUACUGAGUGGCAGACGGGUGAGUAACAUGUGGGAAUCUGCCUUGUGGUUCAGGACAACAUUGGGAAACCGGUGCUAAUACUGGAUAAGCCCUUACGGGGAAAGUUUUAAUGCCAAAAGAUGAGCCCGCAUUUGAUUAGCUAGUUGGUGAGGUAAAAGCUUACCAAGGCGACAAUCAAUAGCUGAUUUGAGAGGAUGAUCAGCCACACUGGAACUGAGACACGGUCCAGACUCC
rnacentral:rRNA from 1 species